GGAAGGGGCCAGGCAUGGUGGCUCACACCUGUAAUCCCAGCACUUUGGGAAGCCGAAAUGCCAGCCUCCCUGUCUACCUGUAUGAAUUUGAGCACCACGCUCGUGGAAUAAUCGUCAAACCCCGCACUGAUGGGGCAGACCAUGGGGAUGAGAUGUACCUCCUCUUUGGGGGCCCCUUCGCCACAGAAACCCCAAUGAUGGGAAUCUGCCUUGCUGGCCACGCUAUGACAAGGAUGAAAAGUACCUGCAGCUGGAUUUUACCACGAGAGUGGGCAUGAAGCUCAAGGAGAAGAAGAUGGCUUUUUGGAUGAGUCUGUACCAGUCUCAAAGACCUGAGAAGCAGAGGCAAUUCUAAGGGUGCCUACGCAGGAAGGAGCCAAAGAGGGGUUUGCCCCACCACCCAGGCCCUAGGGAGACUAGCCAUGGACAUACCUGGGGACAAGGGUUCUACCCACCCCAAUUUAGAACUGCAGGAGCUCCCUGCUGCCUCCCAGCCAAAGCUAGAGCUUUUGCCUGUUGUAUGGCACCUGCACCGCCCUCUCCAGCCUGACAUCCCAUGAUGCCCCACUACUUCACUGUUGACAUCCAGUUAGGCCAGGCCCUGUCAACACCACACUGUGCCCAGCUCUCCAGCCUCAGGACAACCUCUUUUUUUCCCUUCUUCAAAUCCUCCCACCCUUCAAUGUCUCCUUGUGGCUCCUUCUUAUGGGAGGUCGACCCAGACUGCCACUGUCACUGCACCCAGCUUGGCAUUUACCAUCCAUCCUGCUCAACCUUGUGCCUGUCUGUUCACGUUGGUCUGGAGGCCUAGGGCAGGUUGUGACAUGGAGCAAACUUUUGGUAGUUUGGGAUCUUUUCUCCCACCCACACUUAUCGCCCCCAGGGCCACUCCAAAGUCUAUACACAGGGGUAGUCUCUUCAAUAAAGAAGUGUUGAUUAGACCUG
rnacentral:sRNA from 1 species